UACGUAGGGACCAAGCGUUGUUCGGAUUCACUGGGCUUAAAGGGUGCGUAGGUGGGUUGGUAAGUCAGUGGUGAAAUCUCCAGGCUUAACUUGGAAACUGCCAUUGAUACUAUCAAUCUUGAAUACCGUGGAGGUCAGCGGAAUAUGUCAUGUAGCGGUGAAAUGCUUAGAUAUGACAUAGAACACCAAUUGCGAAGGCAGCUGGCUACACGAAUAUUGACACUGAUGCACGAAAGCGUGGGGAGCAAACAGG
rnacentral:rRNA from 1 species